CUUCCGUGACAUCUGUUCGUUUGCGACAUCGCCCGGCGCUAGACCGGCGGUGAAAUUGCUACCGACGCUGUAUGGCGCCGCGUAGGGAGAUCCUGGUGCGAGGCAAUCCGGGCGAGACUGCUUUCCUCUCCCCACACCUCACCCCUCCCCGCCACCCACGCACGAACGCUGUACGAGACUCAACCUCAACAGCCAUGAAACAAGGACAGAGAAUGCUCCUCACGUCUCCCUUCAGUGAGGCUGGUGGGGCUCGUGAGGUGGUGGUGGUGAGGCUGGUGUGGGUGAUGGAGCCGAUGGAGGUGGCGGGGAUGACCCCGCGCCGGCGCUCCUCGUUACCGUUCGCCGGGGACGGCCCCACC